rnacentral:rRNA from 1 species
GAUGAACGCUGGCGGCGUGCCUAAUACAUGCAAGUCGAGCGAACGGACGAGAAGCUUGCUUCUCUGAUGUUAGCGGCGGACGGGUGAGUAACACGUGGAUAACCUACCUAUAAGACUGGGAUAACUUCGGGAAACCGUAGCUAAUACCGGAUAAUAUUUUGAACCGCAUGGUUCAAAAUUGAAAGACGGUCUUGCUGUCACUUAUAGAUGGAUCCGCGCUGCAUUAGCUAGUUGGUAAGGUAACGGCUUACCAAGGCAACGAUGCAUAGCCGACCUGAGAGGGUGAUCGGCAACACUGGAACUGUACCACGGUCCAGACUCCGACGGGAGGCAGCAGUAGGGACUCUUGCGAAAUGGGCGAAAGCCUGCCGGAACAACGCCGCGUGAGUGAUGAAGGUCUUCGGAUCGUAAAACUCUGUUAUUAGGGAAGAACAUAUGUGUAAGUAACUGUGCACAUCUUGACGGUACCUAAUCAGAAAGCCACGGCUAACUACGUG